rnacentral:rRNA from 1 species
GUGCCAGCCGCCGCGGUAAGACGUAGGGCGCGAGCGUUGUCCGGAUUUAUUGGGCGUAAAGAGCUCGUAGGCGGCUUGUCGCGUCGACUGUGAAAACCCGCAGCUCAACUGCGGGCCUGCAGUCGAUACGGGCAGGCUAGAGUUCGGUAGGGGAGACUGGAAUUCCUGGUGUAGCGGUGAAAUGCGCAGAUAUCAGGAGGAACACCGGUGGCGAAGGCGGGUCUCUGGGCCGAUACUGACGCUGAGGAGCGAAAGCGUGGGGAGCGAACAGGAUUAGAUACCCUGGUAGUCCACGCUGUAAACGUUGGGCGCUAGGUGUGGGGGGCCUCUCCGGUUCCCUGUGCCGCAGCUAACGCAUUAAGCGCCCCGCCUGGGGAGUACGGCCGCAAGGCUAAA